AAUACAAACUGCGGUCUUGCCUAGCCGGCCUUAUAUCCUUUACUGAAUAAUCAUAUCUAACGACUUUCACAAUUAUUUUUUUACAAAAUCUAGUAAAAAUUUAUCGAAAAUCAUAAGCAAAAUAAUAAAAAUAUAAUUUUUACGUGUAAACUUUUUAUAAACAUUACGUUAUUUAAAAAAAAAUACAUACCAAUAUUUUAAACGAGUGAAGACUUAUUUUUAAAUUAAUGUUAUCUUAUCUGUAAUAUUUUCUAUUACUGUUAUCAACUAUAACGUCAGUGUUUAUUUUUGAGUUGGGAAGAAAUUAUAUCAGUAGAAGAAUAGUAUACGUAUGCUAUUAUGUUAUUUGAUAAAUGUUAAAAAAGCCUUGGAAGGACAAUAAACUGAGAAAAUAAUAUGGUGAAGUUGUGAAUUCUGUUUGAAAUGAGUAUCGUACCAGAAAGCGAGCAACCGUUAUAUAUACUUUAGAAUAGUUUGUUGUUGUUGAUAAAUUGUGUACAUGCCUUACUGAAGUGUCUUCUUGAAGUUGUUUUCAAACUUAUCGCACCUGUUACUUUUAUACAAAUAAAUUUUACACAGAUUUUAUAGUUAAAUUCUUACGGUAUUUUUUAUAUUUAUACAUAAUUAUUAUAAAUUAAAAAUGUUUAAAGUAAUUGAAAAAUUAUUAUUAACUUUUGUUAUUGUGUAAAAAUGAAAAAAUUAUUUAUAAAAAAUCAACAUUCGAAAUUUCGACUAUAAGAUAGAAUAUUAAAUCAAUGUUUAAAAACAAUACUGUUCGACCAGUUCGAAUGACCGUUCUACCGGUGCAUCCGAUGCAGCCAACACUGCGGGGUGAUCCCCGAGUACCAAAUCUAGACCCUUUGCAUCCAUUUACACCGUCGGAUUUAUCAUCAAUACCUCAUAUGGAUGGAAGUCCAACACCAACAUCAAUUCAAACAAACAACCACAGUUCAACAACUGUAGACAAUUCUACUGAUCCUACAUUAGACCCCGGUCCCUACAUCGUCGGGAGUCCAAUUGACCUUGGAAACAUCGAUAAUGUCGAUAACAUUGGUCUUCAAGUUGGCUCUAUUAGACGGGGGAGAGGACGAACGCGUGAACAUAUUGAACUUCAAGAAACUGGUUCACCGGAAUCAGAAGUUUCAGUAGGAGGAAAUAGAACGGAAAAUGGAACUUCAUCAAGCGAAGACCGGCCGGUUGUGGUACAAGAGGAUCAUGAAGAAAGGAUAGUAUUUGUAAAUGCCCCUCAUCAACCAGCAAAGUAUAAAAAUAAUCACAUAACCACAGCGAAAUAUUCGCUACUUUCCUUCAUACCUUCCUUUCUCUUCGAACAAUUUCGACGAUAUAGUAAUUGUUUCUUCCUAUUUAUUGCACUUAUGCAGCAAAUACCUGAUGUUUCCCCUACUGGUCGUUACACCACACUUGUGCCAUUGAUUUUUAUCCUGAGUGUAUCUGCUUUAAAAGAAAUAGUUGAAGAUUUUAAAAGACAUAGAGCAGAUGAUGAAAUAAAUAUGAGAGAAGUGGAAGUACUUAGAGAUGGAAGAUGGCAAUGGAUACAGUGGCGGAAUGUAGCUGUUGGUGAUGUAGUAAAAGUGCACAAUAACAAUUUCUUCCCAGCCGAUUUGAUUCUACUGUCAUCUUCAGAGCCACAAGGGAUGUCAUUUAUCGAGACUGCAAAUUUAGAUGGUGAGACAAAUUUAAAAAUUCGUCAAGCACAUCCAGAAACAGCAAUGCUUAUUGACACGGUAGAAUUGAUGAAUUUUCGUUCAAAUAUUCAAUGUGAACCACCAAAUAGACAUCUAUAUGAAUUUAAUGGUGUACUUCGAGAAACAAACAAACAAAGUGUAUCAUUAGGACCUGAUCAAUUGCUGUUACGUGGUGCUAUAUUACGAAAUACUAAAUGGGUAUUUGGUGCUGUAAUUUAUACUGGACAUGACACUAAAUUGAUGCAAAAUAAUACAGCAACAGCACCAUUAAAACGUUCAACAUUAGAUCGUUUGACAAACACCCAAGUGCUUAUGCUUUUCUUCAUUCUUGUACUAUUGUGCCUUUUUUCUGCUGUAUUUAAUGUUUUCUGGACAGAAAUGAAUGAAGAAGGUCUUUGGUACUUAGAUUUUAACCUUAAACAUGAAGCAAUUGUAAAAAAAUUUGCAUUCAAUCUUCUUACUUUUAUUAUUUUAUUUAACAACUUAAUACCAAUAUCACUUCAAGUAACACUUGAAGUUGUUCGAUAUGUUCAAGCUACUUUCAUAAAUAUGGACAUUGAAAUGUAUCACGCAGAAACUGAUACUCCUGCUAUGGCAAGAACAAGCAAUCUAAAUGAAGAAUUGGGUAUGGUUAACUAUAUAUUUACUGACAAGACAGGAACUCUUACAAAAAAUGUUAUGGAAUUUAAACGUUGUUCAAUAGCUGGUAAAAUUUAUGAUUUACCAAGCUCUACAGAACCUGGUUGUAGUUCAUAUGAUUGUGAUUUAGUUAAAAAUAUUACUGAAUGGCGAAUUAAACCAGAUUCUACUAAUGUAAUUAGUACUAAAAAUGCAAUUACAUCAGCAAUAUUACAUGAAUUUAUGAUAAUGCUGUCAGUUUGUCAUACAGUUAUUCCAGAAAAAAUAAAUGAUGAAAUAAUAUAUCACGCUGCAUCACCGGAUGAACGAGCUCUUGUUGAUGGAGCAAGAAGAUUUGGUUAUGUUUUUGAUACACGAACUCCUUCGUAUGUCGAAAUAGUUGCGUUAGGUGAACGACUACGUUACGAAAUUUUAAAUGUUAUUGAAUUUACCUCUACGCGAAAACGUAUGUCAGUGAUAGUAAAAACUCCUGAAGGUAAAAUAAAAAUAUUUUGUAAAGGUGCUGAUUCGGUUAUUUAUGAAAGACUUGCACCUAAGCCCACUGAAAUAAAUGAUGUUGUUGAGUUGGAAAUGGGCGAUGAUUUUCGUCAAACUACUUUGGAUCAUUUGGAAUCAUUUGCUACUGAAGGUUUGAGAACUCUUUGUUUUGCUUCAGCAGACAUACCAGACAAUCGUUAUGAAUGGUGGAGUGAAAUUUAUCACAAAGCAGAAAUGUCAAUGUCAACUCGUGACAGUAAAUUAGAAGAAGCGGCAAAUCUUAUUGAAACAAAAUUAACAUUGCUUGGAGCAACUGCUAUAGAAGAUCAUUUGCAGGACCAAGUACCAGAAACACUACAAGCACUUAUUCAAGCAGACAUAAACGUCUGGGUAUUAACUGGAGACAAACAAGAGACUGCAAUUAAUAUCGGAUACUCUUGUCGUUUAAUAACUCAAUCAAUGCCAUUAAUUAUCGUCAACGAAAGUUCUUUAGACAAAACGCGAGAUGUUAUUAUUCAACAUUGCGCUGAUUUCGGACAAGAUUUACGUUGUCAAAAUGACGUUGGCCUUGUAAUAGAUGGCAAUAGCUUAAAGUAUGCGUUGUCUUGUGACUUGAGAAGAGAUUUUUUAGAUUUAUGUACCUCAUGCAAAGUCGUAAUAUGUUGCCGGGUAUCACCAAUGCAAAAAGCUGAAGUUGUCGACUUAGUUACAAGUAAUACAAAAGCUGUUACUUUAGCAAUUGGUGAUGGAGCUAAUGAUGUCGCAAUGAUACAAAAAGCUCAUAUUGGUGUUGGUAUUUCCGGCGUUGAAGGCCUACAAGCUGCGUGUGCUUCAGACUACUCAAUAGCUCAAUUUUGUUAUCUAAAACGUUUAUUAUUUGUCCAUGGAUCAUGGAAUUAUAGUCGAAUGUGUAAAUUGAUUUUAUAUUCUUUCUAUAAAAAUAUUUGUCUGUAUGUUAUUGAACUGUGGUUUGCCAUUUAUUCGGGAUGGUCCGGUCAAAUUUUAUUUGAAAGAUGGUCUAUCGGUCUUUAUAAUGUUGUAUUUACUGCGGCACCACCGCUAGCAAUGGGCCUCUUUGACAAAGUUUGUUCUGCUGAGACUCAUCUCGCGCAUCCGAGACUAUACGCUGCCAAAAAUACUAACGAAUCGACGUUUAAUAUUAAGGUCUUUUGGGUUUGGAUAAUAAACGCUUUAAUCCAUUCAUCUCUACUGUACUGGUUAUCACUUUUGGCUUUAGAACAAGAUGUCAUAUGGGCCAAUGGUCGAGAUGGUGGUUAUAUUAUUCUAGGAAAUUUUGUAUACACUUAUGUAGUAGUUACGGUCUGCGUUAAAGCAGGCCUCAUUACGAAUUCAUGGACAUGGGUAACUCAUUUAGCAACAUGGGGAUCAAUUAUUCUAUGGUUUUUAUUUAUUUUAAUAUACAGUAACUUUUGGCCAGUAUUAAAUGUUGGUGCUGUUAUGUUAGGUAACGAUAAAAUGCUUUUUACUUCGCCUGUUUUCUGGCUGGGGCUUAUUCUAAUACCUACAGCAGUUUUGCUUGUCGAUGUGACAGUAAAGGCUGUGACAAAUACAAUGUUCAAAUCUCUUACGGAAGCAGCGAGAGAGCAGGAAAUUAAAAAAUCCGAUCCAAGCGAUUUAUUCACCAAUCAAGAUUACAGAAGCUCUAAUACGUACAGGCCUGUGCAUGCAAUCGCUGAUCUCGCGAGGUCUGCACAAUAUUUUAUUAAACUAUUGUUACGAUUUUUCGAGUGUAUAAAACCAGUGAAGAUGACAUCGUUAAUUAUUUAUAUAUUAUUAUAUUUAUGCACAAAAUUGUUCAAACGUAUCACAAUGCACGGCUUCCAGAUUGACGGAGACAGCGAGGCUACUAAAAAACGUUAAAAGUGUUUUCACUCGACGUUCAAAUGCAGCUACCCGAGUCAAUGUUGAAGUGGAAUUAUCGCAUGGAUUCGCAUUUUCUCAAGAAGAAGGUGGUUCAGUAACUCAAACAGAUGUAAUAAGAGCGUAUGAUACGAACCUUCCGAAACCUGGUGGUAUGUGAUUUUACUUCAAAAUCACGAUCACGUUAUAUGUAUAUACAUAUAAAACAAUGAACGUCUAAAUACAUUAUUCUUUAAUCUAAAAUUAUAAUUUAUACAAGGAAAAAAAACUUUAAUAUUAUGAUUACUCGAGUUUAAACUUGAUCAACAAUGAUUCAAGUAAGGCAUAUUUUAAUUUUUAUAUUAUUAGUCUAAGAUUGAGUCAAAAUGAUAGAAUGCAUAAUAAAUAUAAGACAACAGUUAUGAAGAUUGAAAAAAAAAUAGAUAUAUUUUAAUUAAAAUAUCUAUUCAGUACUCAAUGAAUAAAAGUUUACGAUCUUAUGAUAAAACCAAUUUUCAAAAACUGUUGAUAAAAUUAAAAAUCAUAUAGGUUCUAGUUAUCUUGACUUAAUUAAAUUAAAUUUCGUAAAAUUAUUAAAUUAUUUUUCUAUUUAC